UCAUAGAAGCCGCGCAGCCAUUUUGUUAGCUAGCUUGAGGUUACAGAGGUUAGCUGCAGUUGUACAGCUGCAAAUAUUCACAGUGCUUUGACGAUUUGGAACUUCAAAAAAUCCACCGUAUAAGAAGACCCAUCAGUGCUGUUAUUCACUGUACAACUUUCGACCGAGCUUUUGUAGACGACAGGAGGACUCGUGUGUUUGUUGACAGUAAACACAGCGCGAAACUGUGUGGUCAUUCAUUUCUCGAGCUGCCUUGAGUUUGCUAGCUUUGUUAGCUAGCUGGCUAACUUGUUUACGCGUGCUGCCCGUGGCGAAGAACAGAGACAAAUAUCCAUGGCCUCAAGCUGUUAAAUAUAAGAGAGUUGUAAAAGUAAGUGUUAACGUUUGUCGAAGUUUGUCUGUUUGCGUCUGACUGUCGUUGCGUCAUCCCGUUAAAAGAAGUAAACUUCGGCGAGGGUUCAGCGAGUCAGUCAUCAUGUCCGAGCUUUACAUUCGAGUGGCUGAGGACGAAAGCGAAGAGCCCAUGGAGAUCCCCUCAGAGGACGAUGGUACUGUUUUAUUAUCAUCGGUAGCUGCACAGUUCCCAGGGGCGUGCGGGCUGCGGUACAGGAACCCAGAGUCCCAGUGCAUGAGGGGAGUCCGGCUCGUGGAGGGGGUCCUACAUGCACCAGAGAGCGACUGGGGAAGCCUGGUCUAUGUCGUCAAUUACCCCAAAGAUAACAAAAGAAAGAUGGAAGAAAUAGACGCUGCCUCAGCUGUGAAAGUGAAGAGGGGGUUUCAGAAGACCUCAGAUCUCAUUGUUCUCGGGCUGCCAUGGAAAACAUCAGAGCAGGAUCUGAAAGAUUAUUUCAGUACUUUUGGGGAAGUCAUCAUGGUGCAGGUCAAGAGAGAUGCAAAGACUGGCAACUCCAAAGGGUUUGGGUUUGUCCGGUUCACCGAAUAUGAGACACAAACCAAAGUGAUUUCUCAGAGACACAUGAUUGAUGGACGAUGGUGUGACUGCAAACUUCCCAAUUCAAAGGCGUGUCCAGAUGAGCCCAUGCGGAGCCGUAAAAUCUUUGUUGGUCGCUGCACAGAGGACAUGACGACUGAUGAACUGAGGCAGUACUUCAUGCAGUAUGGUGAAGUCACUGAUGUCUUCAUCCCCAAACCUUUCCGUGCAUUUGCAUUUGUCACAUUUGCCGAUGACCAGGUCGCCCAAGCCCUGUGUGGAGAGGACCUGAUCAUCAAGGGCAUCAGUGUGCACAUCUCCAACGCUGAGCCCAAACACAAUAAUAGUAGGCAAAUGAUGGAUCGUGGGCGGUUUGGGGCUGGUGGGUUCAGUGGGGGUUACGGCAGUAAUCGUGGAGGGCUAGGCAGCGGUAGCGGUGGGGUUAACUUUGGGGCUCUUGGUCUUAACCCUGCUAUGGUAGCUGCUGCCCAGGCAGCGCUACAGAGCAGUUGGGGAAUGAUGGGCAUGCUGGCCAACCAGCAGCAGGGUUUGACCACAGCAGCAGGCACAGCUACUACGACCCGAGACCAGACCUAUAGCUCUGCCAGCACCAGUUACAGCAGCCCCAGCUCAGCCAGCCUCGGCUGGGCCGCAGGCACUAACACGGCCUCCAGCGGUGGCUUCAGCUCCGGCUUUGGCAACUCUAUGGAGUCUAAGUCUUCUAGUUGGGGAAUGUAGUUAGCUUGAAGAUGAUCCUUUCUGUUGCUAUUAGGUUAAUCUGGUAAGUAUUCUUACAGGGGAACUGCUUAUAUCUUAUGUUCCUAUAAUUUAAAAAAAAAAAAAAACACUGCCUUUUAUUUUGUUUACGAGAAAAUUUAUACUUGUGUGGCUGAUAAUGUGGUCAACAAUUAAUGAGUGAAAAGUUUAGUUUGUGUUUUAGUGGAAAAUGCCACACUCCUGUCUGUUUUUGAGAAAAUGUUCCACAGAUGACUGUGCAUGCAAGAGAAAUAUUUAUGAACAUGCACGAGUAUCUCCAGAGCCCCCUCAGCCCCUUGUACAAUGGGCUUAAUAUGUUGAUAUGUGUUUAAGCAGUUGAUUGCAUCUUUUUGUUUGUUUUUGUUUGACGUCUUUUGAAAAGCCUUCAUGAAAAUCUCUUCUGCAGUUCAACAACUCUUUCCCAAUUUCCCGGGAGGAAGCGCCUCAUUGGCUGCAAUGUUCGCCAGAUCUCAGUAUCAAUUCCCCUCUUCCCAUGUGUAAAUGCUUUGUCAUCAAAGAACACAGCUUCACUCUGCAUAUACUGUGUUAGACGGGACCUCGGACAUGGAUUGCCAAGGUUUUCGACUGAAUCCCGGUUGGAGUCAUUUAUGGACAAACUGAAGACAUUGUCAGCACAAACGACAGUGGAAUUGCUGCACGCCUGCCUUAACCCUGAAAAGGUUCAUCAUCACCCUCACUUGCAAGAACACUUGGACCAUCCUGUCAUGAAAAUUAAAGUGGACCACACUCAUUGGGUAGAGGUACCUGUUUAUACCUGCAAAUGUCACCAACAGGGCCAAUGUCACACUUUCAAUUUAGUUUCAAACGCACAGACUGCCUUAAAUCUGAAACCUGCAUUAUGUCAGUCAAUACUUAAUUCUUUGUCCUCUGUUUCGUCAAACUUCUGGAAGUAUUAACUCUAAGGCCUCUUCAAUGUGAUCGAUAGCAUUUAAAAAGGCAGCUUUUGAUCUUGUGUUGUUUACUUUGAUUGUAAAAUGGUUUGAAUGUAUCAGCUAAUUGAUAUCCAAAGGGACUUGAAGAACAGAACGAACAUACCAGCAGGAAUUCACACUUUCUGUAUUGAACUAUCUUAGUAUUGGGGUGUAAAAUAAAAGUUUUGAGUUUUUUUUA